AAGGCUUAUGGAGACUACAGAUACAGAGGCUAAGCUGGGUGGACAUAAGCAGGAAAGGACAUCUUAGACCUACAAUUGUUGACCUCUCUUUAUCAAGGUGGACACAACUUGUUCCGGCAUUUCUGAUCAUCAAGAGGCACUUUGUCAUCAAAGGGUGCUCAUCUUUCAAGAUGCUGUAACAAUUUUGAGUAUGAUCUUCUUGCCUUGCCGCAUUUAGGGUUUAGGAGCCCAUAUUUUAAAGUAGAAAGGGCAAGGAUGGAAGGUCACGGCAGGGACUCUCAGAGGCAAUAGUCAAAGUCAUAGAGUGGUGGGAAGAAAAUGAUCUCUCAGAGUCGCUUCUAUCGCUUUCCAUCUCUUUAACUGGCUUGUGCGGCUUAACACCUCUCAGCCUCAGCUUUCUUUCCAGUAAAAUAAGCGCCCUCAUAUCUACCUUAUGGGGUCCAUGAAAGCAUGACAUCAAUUGAGCAGGCGAAUCAGUGAACCUGCAGAAGCAACAAACACAGCUACCAUUUGUUGGGGACGUAACACAUUUGAGGCUCUGUGCAGACAUUUGAAAGACAUGGCUGUGUCACUUCCUCUGUCUAAUUUCUCUUCAUCUUCUCCCUCUCUUUUUAUUUCCUGAAGCUAGAAAUACGAUGGCGAGUUUAAAACUUUGUUCUUUCAUUCAACAAACAUUUUUUGAGCAACUCCUGUGUGCUAGUCAUGGUUCUUUGUUCUUAAGACACAGCUCCAAACAAGACAGACCAGAUCUAUAUUCUCAGAUAUUAUAGUGAAGGGAGACUGAAAACAAUGGGUAAGCAAAUACAUAUGCUAGGUAAUUUCGGACCGAUCAAGGUACUAAAACAACAACAACAAAAACAAGGUGUCACGAAGAGACAGAGACAGCUGGGAUGGGUGGGAAGAUAAUGAAUGAAGGUUAUUUUAAUUAAUUGAUUGAUUGAUUGGUUGACUUUUAAAUCUUAUUGGAGUACAACUGACUUAAAAUGUUGUGUUACUUUUAGGUGUAUAGCAAAGUGAAUCAGUUUACAUAUCCAUAUAUCCAUUCUUUUCAGAUUCUUUUCCCAUGUAAGUUAUUACAGAAUAUUGAGUAUAUUUGGCUGUGCUAUACAGUAGGUCCUUACAACUUAUAUAUUGUAUGUAUAGUAGUAUGCAUAUGUUAAUCCCAAGCUCCUAAUUUAGCCCCCCCCCCCAAUGUUUCCUCUUUGGUAACCAUUUGGUUUUGAGAUCUUUGAGUCUGUGUCUGUCUUGUAAAUAAGUUCUUUUCUAUCACUUUUUAUUACAUUCCACAUAUAAGUGAUAUCGUAUGCUGUUUGUCUUUCUGACAUACUUCACUUACUAUGAGAAUCUCUAGUUGCAUCCAUGUUGUUGGAAAUGCCAUUCAUUUGUUCUUUUUUAUGGCUGAGUAAUAUUCCUGUGUAUAUAUGUACCACCUCUGAAUGAUGGCUAUUUUAGAAAGGGAAUGAGCAAUGGGAAAAGGUAGGAAAAGUGAGCUGUGGGCAGAGUGUAUGCAAGUAAAAUGAACUUAAUGUGUUUGAAGAGCAAAGAAGUCAGAAUUCCAAGUGGUUAGCAAAUGAGAGAAUGCAGGAGGUGAAGAAGGAGAGACUGGGUUUUCUAGAAGGGCAGGAAGUUUGACUUUAUUCUAAAUGUGAUGGAGGGUUUUGCACAUUGGAAUGAUGUCCUCUGAUUUAUGUUUUAUAAGGAAAAUUUAUUCUAUUGUUUGAAGAUGACUCGAGGGGUUAAAAUGACCAGGAGGCAUGAUAAGGAAAGAGUGAGAAGGCCAAGGCAAAAUCCAAAUGAGUGAUGACUGUGGUUUGGCCAAAGGUUUUUGCCAUUGGGGUAGAGAGAAGAUGGCUUUUGGAUAAGUUUGGGAGAUGAGCUGAUUAGACCCACAUGGAUAGAACUUGGGAAAUAAAAGAAAGGGAAAAUCAAGGAUGACUUCUAGGCUUGGGCUGAGCACUUGUUUGUUGGAAAAUCUAGGACUCCCUUAACUGCCCCACUGUGUGUUUUAAGAGGAAGCAAUUGCUCGUGUUAUACAAGAUGAGCUCUUAAGUCUGCAUGUGUGAUAUUCAGUGGGACCAAGACCGGGCUAGAGAUACAGUUGAACUGGAGAAAAGAUGUUGAUGUUUCCUGAAUCUUUGGGUUGUGUUCUUUCAGUAUACUGGUGGUGGAUUACUUUGUAACUUUUGCUUCAGUUUUCCUCCAACUGCUCCGGUUUCCACCCCCACUCUCCGCUCCCACUUCUGCUGCUUCCUCUUCACUUCAGCAGUGCAAGAACCACCUUGCAGGGCACGGCAAGUUCAACAGACUUGGCACCUGGGCCCUGGUGGAUGAGUUCUACCCUUUAGGCAGUGUGGCCUCCUGGCCUGCCAAAUCUGGAAUGCUUUCCUGGCUGCCUAUGCUGCUCCGGCACAGGGCUUCGGGGCUGGAGCAGAGCAGGACAGACUCCUACCCAUGCCUCUUUUGGUUAGGGUAUGAGGGGGAAGGGCCUGCAGCCCUGGGUGGUUCAUGAUGCCGAAACCCCAGGACUGCUGCUUGGGGCUGACUCUGGGAGUUGGUGUAGACAGUAGCUAGGCUCUGAGGCAUUUUGACAGCAAUUUUCAAGAGAGUCCCUUACCUUCCCUGAACUCCAAUUCUCUCAUCCAUAAAGAUGGGAUAGUAAUAACGAUUAAAGAUAGGACGGUGAUAACAAUUGUUUUGAGUUAUUGUAAUUAUUGACCACUUUUUUGGUGUCUUUUUAGGGUUGUACCCGCGGCAUAUGAAAGUUCCCAGGCUAGGGGUCAAAUCAGGGCUGUAGCUGUUGGCCUACACCACAACUACAGCAAUGCCAGAUCUGAGCCGUGUCUGCAAUGUACACCACAGCUCACAGCAAUGCCAGAUCCUUAACCCACUAAGUGAGGCCAGGGAUCAAAGCCACGUCAUUAUAGUUAUCCUGGAUACCAGUAGGGUUUGUUAACCACUGAGACAUGGUGAGAAUUCCUGAUUAUUGACAAUUUGAGAGGCAGUAAAGAGCCAAGGGACAUUUGGCUUGGAGUCUAGAGGCAGGAAAAGACCUCCAUUCUUUUCCAUAUGGAUCCUGACAUUGGAACGUGUUUCUUAACCAAUCUGUGCCUCAGUUUCCUUAUCUCCUCUAAAAGAAUAAUAAUGGUGCCUACCUCAAAUGGCUAUCCCGAGAUUUAAUUUCUUGGAAAGUGCUUCCAACUGUGACUGGCAUUUGACUAUAGCACCUAAAAAUAGUGUUUGACAAGAGGCACUUGAUGCUUGUCUGGUAGGAAAAAAAUGAUGUCUAGAAAAAGUGCAGAAAUAGCAUUAAAAAUUAUUGUUUUAAAUUUUGUUAUAUCCUUCAUUUGCAUUACUGCUUCUGUUUUCCAGAAAUAACUACAGUUUCAGUACAUGAAUCUCUGGGAUUUAAAUGAGAGGAUGACAUGCUCAGAUGCCUAUGAGGGGUGAGAGCAGGUAACACAAAUAAGUAAGGGAAGUAGGCUCGGGGGAUAGACCAGGGCGCAUAUGGUCUCAUCUGUCUUAACAGGUUACAUGGCUUAGCAGUGGUGUCACACGAAAGUUCUUUAAGAGAAGCUGGAAAUCUGGAAUUUUUAGAUAAAAUUUCCAGGUUUAUAAACAUGGGUGGUUAGACCAAAGUGCUGGGAAAAACAAAAAACAAAACAAAACAAAACAAGACAAAACAAACCUUGCUGGCUAAAGAGACAUCUGAUCCAUGGGGUAGGUCUGGCCAUGGGCCACCAGUUUAGUUACAUGGAUCUAGAUAACUGUGGAUCAGUUUGUGAAAUCAGCUGCAAGUGGGAUCCGGGAAGGUACAUUUAAAUGAGAGGAUGUUUUCAUAUGGAAAGCUACAGUGGGGGCUGCUCCGGAGCUUCCUCUGGAGUAGGAAACGGGGUUGGGAGUGAUGGGGAGGAUGCCGAAAGAUGAAGCAUGUGAUCCAGAUGGCCUGGGCAUACUUCAAAACCCGAUGUAGGGCUGGCCUCAGUGCCAUAGAUGUCUGUGUUUUGAACAUACAGGUUGUUUUUACUUCCUUGGCAGUCAGGUGAUACGGAGGCAGUAUUGUUCAAUUCACUGCUUCCUGGGGCCUGAUUGCACCUGCUGUGCAUAGCUAUGGCAUCACUCAUGGUUAGGCAACUGCUUGCCUUUGUCCUGAGGCUCCUGUGGGUCCCACCUGAUGCAGGUGUUUUGGAGGGAGCAUACACAGGUAGACUGCUUGGAUUGGAUCCUAUAACCCAGUCCACUAACCUGAUCUAUAGAGCAGGUGCCCAGAGAGUGGGGCUGAACUUCACUUUCAAUGACCUGGACUAUCACACAGCUAUUUGGUUAUGGUUUUCAUAAUUCAGCAAAGAUGACUUAAGGCUUUAUGGUGUUAUAGAGUGCUCUGGCAUCCAUGGCAAAGCCUAAAAUCAGGUGGAAGAUAAAACAUUAUAAUUAUUAUUCAUAUUCAAAGUAAAACUCAAACACCUAAUGCUAUUUAAAAGUUAUAGGACAGUACUAGGCAAUCAGUGGUUAUUAACAAGGGUUGUUUAGCGAUAUCUGGAGACAUUAUAGUUGUUAUAACUGAGUGAGAGGUUUGCUGCUGGCAUAUAGUGGGUGGACGCCAUGGAUGCUUCAAAACAUCCUGCAAUGCCCAGGACAGUCCCCCACCACAAAAAAUUAUCGGGGCUCACAUGUCGAUAGUGACAAGGCUGAGAAACCUGUAAUAAAUUGAAAGAAAAAAAAUUCAUAUGAGAAGGUAACUUUAGAAAUAAAAUUAGGGGCAUAAAUUAAAGGCUGCCAUGCACUGGGUUUAAGAUGUGUAUAUAUGCGUGCUUUUAGCAAAUUGAUUUCUUCAUGUACUCAUGGCUGAAUUAAAUCAAUUAUAUAUAAAGCGACCUACUUCCUCCUAUCACAAGAAACUAUUUUCACUAUAAAGGAGCUUAGAGCUGCACAUAGAAGCCCAAUGCCCACCCCCAAAGCCAAAUAUGCUAAUAUCUAGAGCAAUUAUCAUACAAGCAGGUAGAACCCAAAGAGAAAAAACUAGGGUCCUUGAUCCUUCCAAGUGGAGCCAUCACUUGUGUCCUCUCCACCGAUUGCUCCCAGUAGGUGGUCAAGUUCAUUGCCUUUGACAUCUUGCUUUGCUGACAGAUGCUUUCAAUACGAAGGCAAUUCAAAAGCAAAUGAAUAGAGGCUGAGGAGUUCAUGCAAUAGACCUGCUGUGGGUUCAUCACCCACGUCCAGUGCAAUACUUCCUAAGAGGUACCCCUUGAAUGGAAGACACAGGUCAUUUUUUCCAGAGGACAGGCUCUUCCUUCAAGUUCAGACUGAUCUGUUGAGGACAGUAGACAACAGAAAGUGGCUGGCAGAGUUGGGAUAUUGAGACCACACCCUGAAUUUUGUGAAACAUUUGAUAGAAAAGAAGAGAGGCGUUCCUGCUGUGGCUCAGUGGUUAAGAAACCAACCAGUAUCUAUGAGGUUGAUGGAUCCCUGGUCCUGGUCAGUGGGUUAAGGAUCUCUCAUUGCCGUGAGCUGUGGUUUAGGUCACAGACUUGGCUC
rnacentral:lncRNA from 1 species